GUCUUGCUCUGUUGCCCAGGUUGGAGUGCAGUGGCUCACUGCAACCUCUGCCUCCCAGGUUCAAGCAAUUCUCCUGACUCAGCCUCCUGAAUAGCUGGGAUUACAGGCACCUGCCACCACACCCGGCUAAUUUUUUGUAUUUUUAGUCGAGCCGGGGUUUCACCAUGUUGGCCAGGGUGGUCUCGAACUCCUGACCUCGUGAUCUGCCUGCCUCAGCCUCCCAAAGUGCUGGGAUUACAGGCAUGAACCACCACGCCCAGCCCAUGAUAAUUUUUAAAAGGAGAAAAAAAGAAAAAAUGUUGGAGGAUUCACACUGCCUGAUUUCAAAACACACUACAAAGCCACAGUAAUCAAGUCAUGGAGCUACUGGCAUAUGGAUGGAAAUACAGAUCAAUGAAACCAAAUUGAGAAUCCUGAUAAACCUUUACAUUUAUGGGCACCUGAGUUUCAACAAGAGCGCCAUGGAAAUUCAUGAGUCCUGUGAGUUGAUCCCAGCGACUGUGUACACAUCGAAGUUCCUUCGCCAAUGUGGAGCCUCAGUCAAAAGGCAGCCUGUUGCUUCAUUCUGCCAAGAGGGACCCUCUUCGUACCUCUGUGCCUGUCCAUAUGCUUUUCCUAAUUAUCUGGCCAGCUGUGACUCAUUAUCUGAGAUUUAAUUCACACUUCAUUCCUGAAGCUUUCCAAGAUGCCAUCUCCUACCUCCUUAAUGUUCCCAGCAUGUACCUGACAAUAUCACCUAAUAAGCGGUAUGAUAGAGGAGACUCAGAGGAGUGUGUUUACAUCUACCUUUAUUGAGGAAGAGGUCUGUGACUACUGAGCCUUACACUGAGCCUGGCACAGAGCAGUUCUCGAUGGUCUAUGAUUCUUGGAUUUUGGAAGCAAUGGGAAAUACCAACAUGUAAACAGUUCCUGGUUUCUUGGGAUAAGUAUUCAAGUCUGGUCAGUUGCCUUUAUCCGGAUAUUUUGUUGUCUUCAUGACUUCAUUUCUCUCCUUUAAUGCUCUUGUUCUGGGAUCUCAUGCUUGAAUUCUUUUUUUCUGUUUGAGUUUAAAAUAAUAACAUGGGCCGGGCAUGUGGCUCAUUCCUAUAAUCCCAGCACUUCUGGCGGCCAAGGCUGGAGCAUUGCUUGAGCCCAGGAGUUGGAGACCAGCCUGGGCAACAUAGUUAGAUCCUGUCUCUACAAAAAAAUAAAAAUAGCUGGGUGUAGUGGCAUGGGCCUGUAGUCCCAGCUACUCCGGAGGCUGAGGCAGGAGAAUCGCCUUGAGCCCACGAGUUGGAAGCUGCAGUCAUUUAGGAUCACACUGCUGCACUCCAGCCUGAGCCACAGAGCAAGACCCUGCCUCUAAAUAAAAAUCAAAAUAAAUAUGAUAAUAACAUCUUUAAAAAGUGCAAUAAGUGUCACAGCAUUCUUUUGAUAAGGUUUCUUUAAAGCACACUAGACAUUAAUCUUGCGGGCAGGAAGUGGGUGGGUGGUACAUGUAGAGAUAGUGCAGGAUAAAAAAAUAUAUAUCUUAAAAACUUGGUAAAGGUGGCCAGGCGCAGUGGCUCAUGCCUGUAAUCCCAGCACUUUGGGAGGCCAAGGCGGACGGAUCACAAGGUCAGGAGAUCGAGACCAUCCUGGCUAACAUGGUGAAACCCCAUCUCCACUAAAAAAUACAAAAAAUUAGCCAGGCGUGGUGGUGGGUGCCAGUACCUGUAGUCCCAGCU
rnacentral:lncRNA from 10 species